UACCCGCCCCCUCCUCAUCAGAGAAUAUCCCACCGUAUGAAAAGUCUUCACCCUGCCGAGUCAUGGCCUCACUUUGAGUCCAGUCAGGUCUUUGUGUGGUUUGGUUUGGAGGCGAGGUUUCAAGCACACACGGGUGCUAUUAUGAAUCACCAAGAGAAACUGGAACAUGGAGAAGACAGGAAAGGGUACUGGUGGCUGGUAAGAAGUCCAAGGGUUACAAUAAGAAGUGUUAAUACUGCCUAAAAGAGCGUAUCAGUCUACUUAAAGCAAUGACUGAAUGUUGAGCAAAAAUAGAGAUGAACAAAAUGUCUAACCUGUUUUUGUUGCACCUGCAGGUUGGCAAGUUAACAAUAGAGCAAGGCAUGGUAAAAUGAAUAUCCAUGAACUAUCCUGUGUCAACUGUUAAUAAUGGGCUAUUUAAUCCUGUUCUGUUAACCUGUUUGUGAUGCAGAGCGAUGCAGAGCCCAUUGUUUUGCAAGAAGAGGCUAACAAGGCACAAUAAGUCCCAUCGUGCCUGAAAACGUAACAAGAGCAGCUUUCACACGCUUUAGCAGCUAAUUUAUCAAGACCACUUAUGCAAAUCAAGUCAGAUGCAAUUUUCCAGUUAGAACACCUGAGCCUCAGCUCGGCAGCAGCAGCAGCAGGCAGGUGAAGGAGCAGCCUGUGGAUCCCUACUGAGCCAGCAGCCAGCGGGCAGAGAAGCACAGACUGCUGCAGGUAUGACAUGACUGUUAAUGCUCUCUGAGUGUUAUGACUUGGAAAUUGUUUUUAUUUUCUCAUUCUAUUAGAUAAAAAAAAGACUUGUUGGCAAAUAGAAAAUUUGUUAUUUCAGGCUCUUGUGCCUUUGUCAUGAUGGUGAGUUAGGAUGUGUAUCCUCUGGGAAUACAUACCAUUAGUAAUUGCAUUUAAAAUUGAUGAGUUCUUAACUAAAACAAUGAAGGCUGCUCAUUUCAAUUACAUAACACUCCUUUUUAUUACCACUUAAUAAAACUGUAUUAGUCUCUCCUCCUGCCAAGUAUGCCCCACAUCUCCAUGUGAGAGAGGCCGUUGCUCACAGGUUUGUUCAUCUGAUGUUGACUUUCUGAUGAAGCCUGUUAGAUAAAUGUCACAGCCUUUAACACUGAAUGCUUAUGGGAUUACUGGGUGAUGCUAACACAACAAUGUCAUUAAGGCAGCAUUUUAUAUUCUCAGGCAGUUGUUUCACACAUUUUUUAUUUAAAUGAGCUUAUGUUUUUAUGAAUCUCCAUUAAAGUUGCUCUGAUUAUUUCAA